GAAAUAAAUUGGCUGUUUUUGUUUUUCAUUUCUGUUCUUUUUGUAUAUAUAUUUUAAAAAAUUGCACUUGCCUCAGUGAGAUGCAGUGUGGGAGUAUACAGCGGAGAACUUACCUGUGCGCUAGUCCAGGGGCUCCAACCCCUGGGCCGUGGACUGGUACCAGUCUGUGACCUGUUAGGAACCAGGCCACAGAGCAGGAGGUGAGCAUUACUGCCUGAGCUCUGCCUCCUGUCAGAUCAGCAGUAGCAUUAGAUUCUCCUAGGAGGAUGAACCCUAUUAUGAACUGCAUAUGUGAGGGAUCUAGGUUGCAUGCUCCUUAUGAGAAUCUAACUAAUGUCUCACGAUUGAAAUGGAACAGUUUUAUCCUGAAACCAUUCCCAUGUCCAUCUGUAGAAAAAUUGUCUUUCAUGAAUCCUGUCCCUGGUGCCAAAAAAAUGUUGGGAAUGCUGCUUUAGAGUACCCUUUUAGUGCCACUGAUUUAGAGGGGGUUGAGCAAGAGAGAACUAAAGGAUAGUAGGAAUUUCUAAUAAAUAGUGAAUGUGAUUUUUGUCUGUCUUGUCCACCAACAGGCAUAAAGGAAAGCACUCAGAGAAUGUAAAAGCUGAGUGCUGAUACAUGGAGUAUUAUUUAUUGCCAGCAUUUCUGAAAGAAUGCAAAGGUAUAGCUGCUUUGACAUAUUACCAAGAGCCGUUUAGAUGGAAACAUCUUGGACUAAUAAAGGACUUUCCAGGUUUUUAUGUAAUCCAGAAUGAAGUUUUGAUGCCUGAUUCCUCACUAUUUCCUUAUUUUAUAUUAGAAGGCUGUAGAAUUUUCCAAAGGAAAUUUCUCUGAUUCACAAACAAUCCGGUGAGUAUGAACUAGUGUCAAUCCGGUAAGUAUGAACUAGUGUCUCAUUGAUUUUGAUUUGCAUUAUUUGAUGCAUAAUGAUGUUGAACAGUUUUUUUGUGUGCUUAUUGGCCAUUUGUAUACCUUUUUUGGAGAAAUGUCUAUCUAGAUCCUUUUUUAUUGUUUUUGUUUUUUCUGUUCUUUUGUUGUUGUUGUUUUGGGGGUUUUGGUUUUUGUUUCUUUGUUUGGGACAGGGUCUCAUUCUGUUGCUCAGGCUGGAGUGCAGUGGUGCAAUCAUGGCUCACUAGAGCCUUGACAUUCUGGAUACAGGUGAUUUUCCCACCUUAGCCUCCCAGGUAACUGGGAUUACACGUACCACCACAUUCAGCUAUUUUUUUUUUUUUUUUUGUAGAGACAAAGUUUUGCCAUGUUGCCCAGGCUGGUCUUGAACUGGGCUCAAGCAGUCCACCCACCUUAACCUCCUAAAGUGCUGAGAUUACAGGCAUGAGCUACUAUGCCUGGUCCUUUUUAUU
rnacentral:lncRNA from 13 species